rnacentral:rRNA from 1 species
AUUGAACGCUGGCGGCAGGCCUAACACAUGCAAGUCGAACGAGUGGCGGACGGGUGAGUAAUGUCUGGGAAACUGCCCGAUGGAGGGGGAUAACUACUGGAAACGGUAGCUAAUACCGCAUACCAUCGGAUGUGCCCAGAUGGGAUUAGCUAGUAGGUGGGGUAACGGCUCACCUAGGCGACGAUCCCUAGCUGGUCUAAGAGGAUGACCGGCAACACUGGAACUGAGACACGAUCCAGACGCCUACGGGAGGCAGGAGUGGGGAAUAUUGCACAAUGGGCGAAAGCCUGAUGACGCCAUGGCGCGUGAAGGAAGAAGGCCUGCGGGUCGUAAAGUACUGUCAGCGGGGAGGCGUUACCCGCAGAAGAAGCACCGGCUAACUCCGUGCCAGCAGCCGCGGUAAUUC